GCGUGGUUGAUGACGUCGUCCUGCGGUCCUGGUGCCUCUAAAUCCUCCUCAGACAUCUGGAUUUCUGCUCUUUGUGCUUCAGCCUUCACCCCACCGGAUCCAGGCGGGGUCUCCCACCUCCUUCUGUUACCGUUUUCUCAUCGUGCCGAUGAGUUUCAGAGUCCUUUGGGGUCCUUUUCAAAAAAAAUCAUAUAAAAAUAUAUGUAUCAAUAUUACCAACCAUAUCGAUACAAAUAGGCAUCACCUAAAAGGUACCAUUGUAACCAUUUUCAAGUGCAUGAAGCACAUUCACCUGUUGGGCAGCCACCACCGUCAGCUCGGGAACUUUUCACUUGCAAAGCUGAAACUCUGUCCCCAUUAAAUGAUAACGUCCCCCUUCCCCUCCCCCACCCCAGCCCCUGCCGCCACCAUCUCUAUGACUCUGAUGAUUUCAGGUCCUUCACAGGAGUGGAAUUAUACAGUAUGUGUCUUUUUGCGCCUGGCAUAUUUCAUUUGGCAGACUGUCCUCAAGGUUUAUCUGUGUUGCAACAGGUGUCAGAGUUCCGUUCCUUUUUAACGCUGAAUAAUACCCCAUGGUGUGUAUAUACCUCAUUUCGUUUAUCCGUUCGUCUGUCGCUGGACAUCCGGGCUGCUUCACCAUUUGGCUGUUCUGUCACCUUGGUCCCUGUGGGCGAGGUCAAAGGUCAGGAAUGGAGUGGAGCACAGCCACCGUGCAGCCCUGAACUGCUAACAUUUGGCCUUUCAUGUGAAAGAGAACCAAGCAGCUGUCUGUUCGAGCCAUUGUUACUUGCAGGCAAAUCCAGUCCUCACUGAUGAGCAAGAGUGGAAUCCUCCGCAGCCGUGAAGACUGGUCCCGAGCCGGAAACCAACAUGGGUGAAAGAAGCCGGACGUGAAGGGAUACACGGCGCUGAAUGAUUCCAUCCUAGGACGGACCGGAGCAGGCAAAAGUAGGAUACUG